UACGUAGGUGGCAAGCGUUGUCCGGAUUUAUUGGGUUUAAAGGGUGCGUAGGCGGUUCCAUAAGUCAGUGGUGAAAUACGGCAGCUUAACUGUCGAGGUGCCAUUGAUACUGCGGAACUUGAGUACUGAUGAGGUAGGCGGAAUUGACGGUGUAGCGGUGAAAUGCUUAGAUAUCGUCAAGAACACCGAUAGCGAAGGCAGCUUACCAAGCAGUAACUGACGCUGAGGCACGAAAGUGCGGGGAGCAAACAGG
rnacentral:rRNA from 1 species